UCUCAGUGGAGCCUCGUGGUUGCCGACGCUCGUACGUCAGACUCUGGCCACUACCACUGCACUGUCAACACUGACCCGCAGAUCUACUCCGUCGUUACACUUAUAGUUACUGCGAAGGAGAACCCAAGCUACCCUCUUGCCAAAGGAAAAGUCUUUGUUGCCAACAACACAGCGUCCACGACAGACGGCAGACUGACAGUGCUGAUACAUGGGCCAAGGGAACUACACAUCGAAGAGGGUUCUUCCCUCACUCUGCGCUGCACCGUCUGGCACACCGGGGCGCUGCCCUCUGUGGUGUACUGGUAUCACGGCAACACCUUGCUUGAC
rnacentral:lncRNA from 1 species